rnacentral:rRNA from 1 species
GACGAACGCUGGCGGCGUGCUUAACACAUGCAAGUCGAACGGAAAGGCCUCUUUCGGGGGGUACUCGAGUGGCGAACGGGUGAGUAACACGUGAGUAACCUGCCCUUGACUUUGGGAUAACUUCAGGAAACUGGGGCUAAUACCGGAUAGGAGCUCCUGCUGCAUGGUGGGGGUUGGAAAGUUUCGGCGGUUGGGGAUGGACUCGCGGCUUAUCAGCUUGUUGGUGGGGUAGUGGCUUACCAAGGCUUUGACGGGUAGCCGGCCUGAGGGGGUGACCGGCCACAUUGGGACUGAGAUACGGCCCAGACUCCUACGGGAGGCAGCAGUGGGGAAUAUUGCACAAUGGGUGGAAGCCUGAUGUAGCAACGCCGUGUGCGGGAUGACGGCCUUCGGGUUGUAAACCGCUUUCGCUCAUGACGAAGCUUUGUGUGACGGUAGUGGGUAAAGAAGCACCGGCUAACUACGUG